GACGAACGCUGGCGGCGUGCUUAACACAUGCAAGUCGAACGGAAAGGCUCCAGCUUGCUGGAGUACUCGAGUGGCGAACGGGUGAGUAACACGUGGGUAAUCUGCCCUGCACUCUGGGAUAAGCCUGGGAAACUGGGUCUAAUACUGGAUAUGACCUUUCUCCUUAUGGGGUUUGGUGGAAAGUUUUUCGGUGUAGGAUGAGCCCGCGGCCUAUCAGCUUGUUGGUGGGGUGAUGGCCUACCAAGGCGACGACGGGUAGCCGGCCUGAGAGGGUGAUCGGCCACAUUGGGACUGAGAUACGGCCCAGACUCCUACGGGAGGCAGCAGUGCGGAAUAUUGCACAAUGGGCGGAAGCCUGAUGCAGCGACGCCGCGUGAGGGAUGACGGCCUUCGGGUUGUAAACCUCUUUCAGCAGGGACGAAGCGUAAGUGACGGUACCUGCAGAAGAAGCACCGGCUAACUAUGUG
rnacentral:rRNA from 1 species